AUACAUGCAAGUCGAACGAACUCUGGUAUUGAUUGGUGCUUGCAUCAUGAUUUACAUUUGAGUGAGUGGCGAACUGGUGAGUAACACGUGGGAAACCUGCCCAGAAGCGGGGGAUAACACCUGGAAACAGAUGCUAAUACCGCAUAAGGGCCAUACCGGCAUGGUCCGAGCUUGAAAGAUGGCUUCGGCUAUCACUUUUGGAUGGUCCCGCGGCGUAUUAGCUAGAUGGUGGGGUAACGGCUCACCAUGGCAAUGAUACGUAGCCGACCUGAGAGGGUAAUCGGCCACAUUGGGACUGAGACACGGCCCAAACUCCUACGGGAGGCAGCAGUAGGGAAUCUUCCACAAUGGACGAAAGUCUGAUGGAGCAACGCCGCGUGAGUGAAGAAGGGUUUCGGCUCGUAAAACUCUGUUGUUAAAGAAGAACAUAUCUGAGAGUAACUGUUCAGGUAUUGACGGUAUUUAACCAGAAAGCCACGGCUAACUACGUGCCAGCAGCCGCGGUAAUACGUAGGUGGCAAGCGUUGUCCGGAUUUAUUGGGCGUAAAGCGAGCGCAGGCGGUUUUUUAAGUCUGAUGUGAAAGCCUUCGGCUCAACCGAAGAAGUGCAUCGGAAACUGGGAAACUUGAGUGCAGAAGAGGACAGUGGAACUCCAUGUGUAGCGGUGAAAUGCGUAGAUAUAUGGAAGAACACCAGUGGCGAAGGCGGCUGUCUGGUCUGUAACUGACGCUGAGGCUCGAAAGUAUGGGUAGCAAACAGGAUUAGAUACCCUGGUAGUCCAUACCGUAAACGAUGAAUGCUAAGUGUUGGAGGGUUUCCGCCCUUCAGUGCUGCAGCUAACGCAUUAAGCAUUCCGCCUGGGGAGUACGGCCGCAAGGCUGAAACUCAAAGGAAUUGACGGGGGCCCGCACAAGCGGUGGAGCAUGUGGUUUAAUUCGAAGCUACGCGAAGAACCUUACCAGGUCUUGACAUACUAUGCAAAUCUAAGAGAUUAGACGUUCCCUUCGGGGACAUGGAUACAGGUGGUGCAUGGUUGUCGUCAGCUCGUGUCGUGAGAUGUUGGGUUAAGUCCCGCAACGAGCGCAACCCUUAUUAUCAGUUGCCAGCAUUAAGUUGGGCACUCUGGUGAGACUGCCGGUGACAAACCGGAGGAAGGUGGGGAUGACGUCAAAUCAUCAUGCCCCUUAUGACCUGGGCUACACACGUGCUACAAUGGAUGGUACAACGAGUUGCGAACUCGCGAGAGUAAGCUAAUCUCUUAAAGCCAUUCUCAGUUCGGAUUGUAGGCUGCAACUCGCCUACAUGAAGUCGGAAUCGCUAGUAAUCGCGGAUCAGCAUGCCGCGGUGAAUACGUUCCCGGGCCUUGUACACACCGCCCGUCACACCAUGAGAGUUUGUAACACCCAAAGUCGGUGGGGUAACCUUGGUUGCCGCCUAAUGG
rnacentral:rRNA from 2 species